AUUGAACGCUAGCGGGAUGCUUUACACAUGCAAGUCGAACGAGUGGCGGACGGGUGAGUAAUGUAUGGGGAUCUGCCCGAUAGAGGGGGAUAACUCCUGGAAACGGAGCUAAUACCGCAUACUAUCGGAUGAACCCAUAUGGGAUUAGAGAGUAUGUGAGGUAAUGGCUCACCUAGGCGACGAUCCCUAGCUGGUCUGAGAGGAUGAUCAGCCACACUGGAACUGAGACAAGGCCCAGACUGCUACGGGAGGCAGCAGUGGGGAAUUUUGGACAAGGGGGUAAACCCUGAUCCAGCCAUCCCGCGUGUAUGAUGAAGGCCUUCGGGUUGUAAAGUACUUGUGGCAGAGAAGCGGUAUCUGCAGAAUAAGCACCGGCUAACUACGUGCCAGCAGCCGCGGUAAUUC
rnacentral:rRNA from 1 species